UACGGAGGGUGCGAGCGUUGUCCGGAAUCACUGGGCGUAAAGGGCGCGUAGGCGGCGCGACAAGUCACUUGUGAAAUCUCUGGGCUUAACUCAGAACGGCCAAGUGAAACUGUUGUGCUAGAGUGCAGAAGGGGCAAUCGGAAUUCUCGGUGUAGCGGUGAAAUGCGUAGAUAUCGAGAGGAACACCAGAGGUGAAGACGGGUUGCUGGGCUGACACUGACGCUGAGGCGCGAAAGCCAGGGGAGCAAACGGG
rnacentral:rRNA from 1 species